AAUCAAUUGCCACCGGGUAAUUAAAGCAUUGAUCAUCUGUCGUUAGGUCUUAGAAGAUGGAUGAUAAUGCUUAUUUUUUU
rnacentral:ncRNA from 1 species